AGAGUUUGAUCCUGGCUGAGAACGAACGCUUGCGGCGUGCUUAACACAUGCCAGUCGAACGCGAAAGGGACUUCGGUCCUGAGUAAAGUGGCGCACGGGUGAGUAACGCGUAGGUAAUCUACCCCUGUGUUCGGGACAACAUCGGGAAACUGGUGCUAAUACCGGAUACGUUUCACGGAUUGCGAGAUAAGUGAAGGAAAGAUGGCGAUCUCUUCGGAGAGCUAUUGCACGGGGAUGAGCCUGCGUACCAUUAGCUAGUUGGUGGGGUAAGAGCCUACCAAGGCGACGAUGGUUAGCGGGUCUGAGAGGAUGAUCCGCCACACUGGAACUGGAACACGGUCCAGACUCCUACGGGAGGCAGCAGUGAGGAAUUUUGCACAAUGGGGGAAACCCUGAUGCAGCGACGCCGCGUGAGUGACGAAGGUCUUCGGAUCGUAAAGCUCUGUCAGCAGGGAAGAAACGUUUAGUGGCUAAUAUCCAUUAGAUUUGACGGUACCUGCAAAGGAAGCACCGGCUAACUCUGUGCCAGCAGCCGCGGUAAUACAGAGGGUGCGAGCGUUGUUCGGAUUUACUGGGCGUAAAGGGCGCGUAGGCGGUUUGUUAAGUCAGAUGUGUAAUCCCCGAGCUCAACUUGGGAACUGCAUCUGAGACUGGCAGGCUAGAGUACUGGAGAGGGUGGUGGAAUUCCUCGUGUAGCGGUGAAAUGCGUAGAGAUGAGGAGGAACACCAGUGGCGAAGGCGGCCACCUGGACAGUAACUGACGCUGAGGCGCGAAAGUGUGGGUAGCAAACAGGAUUAGAUACCCUGGUAGUCC
rnacentral:rRNA from 1 species